AGGGAUGUAGCUUAAUAAGUAGAGUAAUUGCCUAACAUGCAUGAAGUCCUGGGUUUGAUCCCCAGCACUCCAG
rnacentral:tRNA from 1 species